UACGUAGGUGGCAAGCGUUGUCCGGAUUUACUGGGCGUAAAGAGCGCGCAGGCGGUCGUUCAAGUCGCGUGUGAAAGCCCCCGGCUCAACUGGGGAGGGUCACGCGAUACUGAUCGACUCGAAGGCAGGAGAGGGUAGUGGAAUUCCCGGUGUAGUGGUGAAAUGCGUAGAUAUCGGGAAGAACACCAGUGGCGAAGGCGACUACCUGGCCUGUUCUUGACGCUGAGGCGCGAAAGCUAGGGGAGCAAACGGG
rnacentral:rRNA from 1 species